GUGACAAUAAAUACUGAUACAGGGCUCUUUCGGGUCUUGUAAUUGGAAUGAGUACAAUUUAAAUCCCUUAACGAGGAACAAUUGGAGGGCAAGUCUGGUGAACGAUUCAGUUCCGAUGCGCUUCGGCGCAUCUCUGCUGACGCCAGAGAUAGUAGGGCCCCCCCCCUCCCGGGGAGGGGGGUUAU
rnacentral:rRNA from 1 species